rnacentral:lncRNA from 1 species
GGAUACGCAUAUAUUUCAUACAAGAAUUGUGGACGAAAGAUGUGUUUCCAAGACUAAAAUAGAACAAUUAUAAAAAUAAUCACACUACUCAGACACAACCCAAAAUCAACUAACCAAAUACCCAAUAGAAAGUUUGAUUCAGCUGGAAAAGAGGAUGAAAAGCAAACUCCAUGCCAUAUAGAAGAAAUACAAUCGUGGAAGACUUCAACUUUACAAAACCCAACACACAAGUAUUCUCCAGAUCCAUUCCAUAAACCAUUAAAACCAGUAAUUCUACUUUUUCAACUAAGGAGAGCUAAAUAUAACGAGAACAUGGCAAACGAAGGCAAUGAUUUCAGUAAAUAUUGAGACGGCUAAAAGGUUAUAUGUUAAGGAUCUUUGUCUGAACCUGGUAAAAAUAUCAUAUGUUAUGGAUCUUAAGGAAGAACACAGUGAAGACAAAACUCAAAACUUCAAUUAACGAGAUCUUAGAAAUUCAAAAAGGAAUCUUGUGGAUCUGAUCUUGGGUGUUGGGAUUCUUCAAUCGACGGGAUGUCCGCUUGGACAUGCUGCCGGAAAGUUGAAAUCGGCACCGAUAUUGUCGAAGAUUGGAGAUUAGAGGAUGUGUCUCAAGGCCAUUGAGAAGAAAGUGAGUUUGUGGAGGUCUCGCCUGCUGUCGAGAAGAAAAUAGGGAAAAUCUGAAAUAUUAAAGGGAUAAAGAUUUAGUUGAAUUGCAAUUGAGAACAUACUCAAUUCCGUUCUGUUUGAUUUAGUUUAGGGUUAAUAGUGUAUUUUCUCUGUCUAGAAGUGUGUCACCAGCGGUUUGUGUCCUAAGAUGUAAUUGCAAAGUAGAAAAGUGUUCUACAAUGUAAAAAAUUCUAUUAAUAAACCUCUUCGCAUAAAUAAUUUAAUUUGAUAGUAGUAGGUGCUAACGAAAUAGUAUCUGACAUGGCCAACUCACAACCACUUGUCUUUUGUCCCCACUCCCCCCCGGUCAUUUCUGCCCUAACAUAAUAGCCAGUAAUGAUCUGAAAAGACAACCUAUGCUUCUUUAUUUUCCAAUUAGCGUUGGUUUUCUUUUGUAUAUGUACCGACAUUACCAACUGCAACUUCUGUGAGAUCAUGUUCUCGAAAUAAAUUAUUUUUGGCUCCACCUAACUGUUGUUGUUGUUGUCUCUUUAAAAAAAAAAAAUUCAUGCAACAGAGCUAAUGUUAUCGCAACCUUCACUAAUACAAUCGCAUCAAUUCCUGUAAAUCCGUCUUUAUAUAGCUGUAUAAAUCUUAGUAUCUAAAACAAAUGUUUUGAAAAGAAAAAAAUGUUUACAAAAAUCUCUAACCAUUGUGUUUCCUUGGUUACAUCAAUUGAAAUGACUUAAAAUCUGAAAAACGGAA